AUACGUAGGGGGCAAGCGUUAUCCGGAUUCAUUGGGCGUAAAGCGCUCGUAGGCGGCUUGUUAGGUCGGGAGUCAAAUCCCGGGGCUCAACCCCGGCACGCUUCCGAUACCGGCAGGCUUGAGUUUGGGAGGGGAAAGUGGAAUUCCAAGUGUAGCGGUGGAAUGCGCAGAUAUUUGGAAGAACAACAGUGGCGAAGGCGGCUUUCUGGGCCAUAACUGACGCUGAGGAGCGAAAGCUAGGGGAGCAAACAGGAUUAGAUACCCUGGUAGUCCACACUGUAAACGAUGAAUGCUAGGUGUAGGAGGUAUCGACCCCUUCUGUGCCGCAGUAAACACAGUAAGCAUUCCGCCUGGGGAGUACGGUCGCAAGGUUGAAACUCAAAGGAAUUGACGGGG
rnacentral:rRNA from 1 species